UGGGGAAUAUUGCGCAAUGGGCGAAAGCCUGACGCAGCGACGCCGCGUGAGGGAUGAAGGUUUUCGGAUCGUAAACCUCUGUCAGAAGGGAAGAAACCGCACUGUGCUAAUCAGCAGUGCCUUGACGGUACCUUCAAAGGAAGCACCGGCUAACUCCGUGCCAGCAGCCGCGGUAAUACGGAGGGUGCAAGCGUUAAUCGGAAUUACUGGGCGUAAAGCGCACGUAGGCUGCUUUGUAAGUCAGGGGUGAAAUCCCACGGCUCAACCGUGGAACUGCCUUUGAUACUGCUUAGCUUGAAUCCGGGAGAGGGUGGCGGAAUUCCAGGUGUAGGAGUGAAAUCCGUAGAUAUCUGGAGGAUCAUCAGUGGCGAAGGCGGCCACCUGGACCGGUAUUGACGCUGAGGUGCGAAAGCGUGGGGAGCAAACAGG
rnacentral:rRNA from 1 species